rnacentral:lncRNA from 1 species
UUGUUAUUUAAGCGCCUUUUUCUCUUCUCAAAUUGGAUAAGCUUCUUGGGUUUUUGUUAUGGUGAAUGAUAAAUUUCAUCGGUAUAUUAAUUAGUGAGAUUUAAAGAACUUGUAUUUUUAUAGACCCCAUAGUUGGCAGAUGUUGCAAAUCUUUGUUAGGGUAUCAUAAUACCAAUCUCUUAACAACUCCAGAACAAUUGUCAAUGUGCUGGAUUUUACGUGGUCUAUUUGAAUUGUUAUGUGAGGAACAAAGCAAGCUGUAGGACUACUUUUGUAUAUGUCUAAUUCAAAUUAUCUGAAUCUGACCUUUUCAAAAUUGUUUUUCUUGAGCCGAGCGUCUUUCAAAAAGUACAUCUCUACUCCUUUGACUCCACAAGGUAGAGGCAAGGUGCGCGUACACUUUACCGUCCCAGACCCUAUUAUGCUAAGUUGCGCAGACUCUUCGAUUUUGGUUCCGUCCCCCUCCCGAUACAAGACACGGACGGGAGCGAGAUACGUCUCGGAUUUGGUCAACUGACUUCGAACACUUUGAACUGAGUCUAUCGAUAAGUUUGGGAGAAAAAUUGAGAUUUUGAUUUCGCAAAAUCAAAAAUAAAACACAUUUGGGAGAAUGAAAGUAAUGUCCAUCUUGGAGAAUGAAAGAUUGAAUUCUAUAAUAUUCAUGUAAGUUUUCACAGAAUAUCUCUCAAAAUUUAUAAUAUUUUUAUAGCUGUAUUUUUUAUUUGCCGAAUCCCCGCACCCGUAUCCAUAUUCGGAUCCACACCCCUGAAUCUUAAAAUUUAGAUUUUGCCGAAUCCAAUACUCGAAUCCGUCCUCGUAUUGGAUACCCGCACCCUAGUCUGAGCAACUUUGCUACUAUGUGAGAUUACGCUGGGUUUGUUGUUGUUGUGAAUUGUUUGAAUCUGCAUAUGUAUUUACAAGGGUUCACGAAAGAUUCGAGCUUGGUUAAAACUUUCUAUUGGAAUAUGUAAAACCCAAUAUAGUGAGUUAUUGAAGUGAGGGGGACCUCAAAGCUACCUGUAGUUUACGAAAGUUUCCUUCGAAUAGGUAUAAAGGUAAUCUGCUAGGGCUGUUGUUUUCCGUUCUUGUGAGUUGAGCUCACUUCAAAUUUAAUUUCAUCCGUCAGCUAUAUUAUUAGGAUUCACGAUGAAUUGGCUAGUUUUACACUUGUUGUCAGCAUAUUGCAACCCCUCCUUUAUCCAGGCUUGAGACCAGCAAUGUGAGUGGGGUCACACUGAUGUAGUUCUGCACAUAGUGUGUGCAUGUAGGCCUAUGCAUGUAUCACGUUCUUCUUGGAUUCUCCACCCGAUAUAGUGAAACCCUUCAAAAUAUGAUCCACACAUAUUUUUAUCCUUGAAGGUAUUGCAUACAUGAGUUAGGAAUUUAACUCCUCAUCCUACCCUUGGAGGAUGCACUUUCUAUACAAGCUAUCAGCAAGUGUGUCUGCAGGAUAGUUAGUGCUUUUGAAGCUCGUUCGCCAAGAUGCGUUGUACUUCUCUCCUAGUUGAGGCGUCGUUUGUGACACAAUUAUGUGUGCGGAUAUGUGUGGCUGUGUAUCCCAAGAGUAUAUUUCAAGACUUAAGAAAAUGUAGGAUCCUUUCAUAUCCAAAUAGUCAAGGGGCGAGAUGAAGUUAAGCAUGUACAUCAGUAUUGUAAAUAUUCUUUAUCUCACUAAGAUGUGCAUGGUAUUAUUUGAGACAAUAGCUCUUGAUGCUUUUGUUGUGUAGCUAUCCCUUGGUAUGCAUGGAGGACAAUUAGGUAGCUUUCCUUAACGGCUUUUAAGCUCGAUUACUUUUGUACUAUCUUGGAUCUUUUGAGGUAGGUUGGUAUCAUAUAUCAAUCUUAUGGGGUUUCCAAUUACAUUUAGUAGUACUGCAGAAUUUUGAGAUUAUGCAUUCAUAUUGAAGUGAAUAUAUGUACGCAUGAUGCAUCUUAAAAUAUAUUGACAAGCUUACAAUUUACCUCUGUUAAUUUCUUAAAGCUUCAAAAUAUUUUAAUAUAAACAAGAGAGAAGAUAUCUCAUGUGUGGUAUGCUUAGUGCUGUAACUGCUUGUAUAAUGUCAACUGAUACGCGAUUUUUCUUAUUCUUUUGCAGUGAUGGUUUGUGUAGCUAAUCUCUCAAGUGAACGUCCUCCAAUCAUUUCGCUUUUGGUAUUGGUUCCAACCAUGGCGUCUGUUGAAAUUUACUCAGGUUGACGAGUAACUACCUUCCUACUUCUUGGGUAUCUUAUCAUUCAAAAACCAGAAUUUUUUGCCAUAAGUCAGGAGAUCUCAUAGGUGGACUUGCUCUUCUAGCUAUGUCUUUUAACUAGCCUCUCUUUUAAUAAAAUCGUUGUGAAGUUUCGAGCUUCAACCCUUCACUGGAGUGUUAACCUGGUAGAAAUGGAUAUUCCAUCAGAUGACUUCUCUUUGUCCAUCAUGCAACUUCCAGACGAUUGUUUACUCUCUAUUUUUCAACACCUUGACUGCGGACGUGACCGUGAGUCAUUUGGCUUAACAUGUCGUCGUUGGCUUCAAAUUCAAAAUCUAAAUAGAAGAUCUUUACAGUUCCAAUGCUCUUUUACUAUGCUUAAUAUUUCCUCAUUAUCUCAAAAUAACUCCCAAAUCAGUAUUUUCCAGUUAUCUAGGCUUCUGAAC